UAUUGUUACAUCAGAACUUUUGACCGGGUAGACCGAUUUCGACAAAUUUUGUUUUAAUCGAAAGGUGGUGUGUGCCAAUUGGUCCCAUUUAAAUUUAUUUGAGAUAUAACAACUACUUUUCGAGUUAUAUCUAAUAAUGCGUUUUUACUUGACGCUUUUUUCGUCGACCUACGUUGUAUUACUUGUCGAUGUAAUUGAAG
rnacentral:misc_RNA from 1 species